CCUACGGGCGGCUGCAGUGAGGAAUAUUGGUCAAUGGCCGAGAGGCUGAACCAGCCAAGUCGCGUGAGGGAAGACGGCCCUACGGGUUGUAAACCUCUUUUGUCGGGGAGCAAAGCGAACCACGUGUGGUUCAUUGAGAGUACCCGAAGAAAAAGCAUCGGCUAACUCCGUGCCAGCAGCCGCGGUAAUACGGAGGAUGCGAGCGUUAUCCGGAUUUAUUGGGUUUAAGGGGUGAGCAGGCGGAGGUGCAAGUCAGCGGUAAAAUUGCGGGGCUCAACCCCGUACUGCCGUUGAAACUGCAUCCCUUGAGUGCGCGAGAAGUAUGCGGAAGUCGUGGUGUAGCGGUGAAAUGCAUAGAUAUCACGCAGAACUCCGAUUGCGAAGGAAGCAUACCGGCGCGCAACUGACGCUCAUGCACGAAAGCGUGGGUAUCGAACAGGAUUAGAUACCCUUGUAGUC
rnacentral:rRNA from 1 species